ensembl:lncRNA
GUACUUCUUUCUCAGACCAACGUAGGCCUACCUAGCAAAUUUAGCUAACGUUAUCCACUUUUCAACAUUGUUUUUUAAGAGUGUUUAGUCACGAUUGCUGCUGAUGGAUCACGUCAAAUUGGCUAGCCAGCUAAUAACAGAUCUAACCUAGUGGUUAGAGCGACAGGUGACCUAGUGGUUAGAGCGGCAGGUAGCCUAGUAGUUUGAGCUUUGGGGCGGCAGGUAGCCUAGUGGUUAGAAUGUUGGGAGGCAGGUAGCCUAGUGGAUAGAAUGUUGGGGAGGCAGGUAGCCUAGUAGUUAGAGCAUUGCGGAGGCAUGUAGCCUCGUGGUUAGAGCGUUGGGGAGGCAGGUAGCCUAGUUGUUAGAGCGUUGGGGUGGCAGGUAACCUAGAGCGUUGAGGUGGCAGGUAGCCUAGUGGUUAGAGCAUUGGUGUGGCAGGUAGCCUAGUGGUUAGAGCGUUGGGGAGGCAGGUAACCUAGUGGUUACAGCGUUGGUGUGGCAGGUAACCUAGAGCGUUGGGGCGGCAGGUAGCUUAGUGGUUAGAGCGCUGGGGCGGCAGGUAGGCUAGUGAUUAGAGCGUUGGGGCGGCAGGUAGGCUAGUUGUUAGAGCGUUGGGGAGGCAGUUAAUCUAGUGGUUGGAGCAGCAGGUAGCCUAGUGGUUAGAGAGGCAGGUAACCUAAUGGUUAGAAUGACAGGGCGGCAGGUAGCCUAGUGGUUAGAGCGUUGGGGAGCCAGGUAGCCUAGUGGUUAGAGCGUUGGGGUGACAGGUAAUCUAGUGGUUAGAUCGUUGGGGUGGCAGAUAGCCUAGUGGUUAGAGUGUUGGGGAGGCAGGUAGCCUAGUGGUGAGGGCGUUAGGGAGGCAGGUAGCCUAAUGGUUAAAGCGUUGGGGUGGCAGGUAGCAUAGUGGUUAGAGCGUUGGGGAGGCAGGUAGCCUAGUGGUUAGAUCGUUGUUGUGGCAGAUAGCCUAGAGCGUUGGGGCGGCAGGUAACCUAGUGGUUAGAGCGGCAGGUAGCCUAGUGGUUAGAGCGUUGGGGAGGCAGGUAGCCUAGUGGUUAGAGCGUUGGGGUGGCAGGUAGCCUAGUGGUUAGAGCGUUGGGGAGGCAGGUAGCCUAGUGGUUAGAGUGUAGGGGAGGCAGGUAGCCUAGUGGUUAGAGUAUUGGGGAGGCAGGUAGCCUAGUGGUUAGAGUGUUGGGGCGGCAGGUAGCCUAGUGGUUAGAGUGUUGGGGAGGCAGGUAGCCUAGUGGUU